rnacentral:misc_RNA from 1 species
GAGGGUUCACUUUCUGAAGAGAGUUACAAUAUUGCAUUAUGUGCCAUAAAAGAAGCUUUGAAGCAAUGUGCAAAUCUGAAUAACUCUGUUGAGAAUGGUGUUGGUCCUACCGCCCUAGUUAGCAUUGAGGAAGAGAAUCAGUGUGGUUCUACAUCCAAAGAUGUACCAGAUGCUCACUCCAUUAGUGCAAACAAGGCUUCCAGGAGAGUUGAAGCUGGGAAGGAAAAGGAAAAUGAUGAAAGUAACACAUUUAGAAAAGGAAAGCUGGUACCUCAGUCUGGAGCAGUUAACGUUGGGGUACAGGAUAGCUUCCACCUAGUGGAGAUGUGCGACCUAGAGGCUGCGCAAUCACAUAAUAUGGUGUCAGCACAGUUGCAGAAUGUGGUUCCAUCUGUGUUUCAUAGUAUGACAUCAACACAGUUUCACAGUAUGGCUCCCUCCCAUCUGCCUGAGGCUCGACUUCCUCGUUAGUCUGCUCUUGUAUUUUCUUGUAAAGAUUCUGUAAACUCUGAUGGCUAUAGGACUGUAGAAGAAGAACCUAACCAAUUUGCAGGUACGAUCGGUGGCCAAAAGUAUGACAUGUCUGUUGUGCAGUUGACAAAAAUUUUGUUUCAGUGCCCAGCUGAAUUUGGAAAAAAUAGGGUAAGCUGGCUUUUAACUUGUGCAUAAAUUAUUUAUGUAUACAAUUGUUUUAUUUUCUCCUGUUUACUGUUAAUAGGACUGUAAGUAUUUUAUUGGGCAAGGCGUCACAAGAUGCAAUUGUAAAACCUUUUGAUUCAGUAUUUCUUCCAAAUUCAGCUGGGCACUGAAACAAA